GCCUUUCAAGCAACCAGAGAGCAUCUUAAAGACGGGUGUAUGAUUUCCUUUAGGAUAAAUGAUAUCCAACAGAUUCCAUUCAAAGCUGGCUCAUAGGAUAACAAGCCAAGCUCCAAGACUUAGAGGGGUCUGAGUCCUCUGUUGUCAGGCCUGGUGUGUCAGAAACCUGUUGAAGAAGACAUUAUUAUAUGUCCAUUUUACAGAUGAAGAAACAAGAGGUUCAAAGAGAUUAAAAGAUACAGCUAAAGUUACACAGCUAGUAAAUGGCACCACGUUAUCCUCCUUCCCAAUAGCUUCCACCAGAGCUUUACGAAAGAUAACUAAAGCAAAAAGAUAUCUUGGGACUUUCCUGGUGAUAUAGUGGUUAAGAAUCCGCCUGCCAGUGCAAGAGAGGUGGAUACGAGCUCUGGUCCGGGAAGAUCCCACGUGCUGUGGAUCAACUAAGCCCGUGCACCACAACUAUUGAGCCUGCACUCUGGAGCCCACGAGCCAUGACUACUGAAGCCCGUGCACCUAAAGCCCAUGCUCCGCCAUAAAGAGAAACCACCGCAAUGAAAAGCCCGCGCACCGCAAUGAAGAGUAGCCCCCGCUCGCCACAACUAGAGAAAGCCUGUGCGCAGCAACAAAGACCCAACGCAGCCAAAAAUAAGAAAUCCUUGGUGCUUUGGAAAACAGCUGACUGGAAGAAAUUUCCCAUCAGAUGGGAAUGAAGAGGUGCCGCUGCAGAGACAGAGCAAACCUAACCACACACGGCAGCAGCUCAUCAGAGCCAGAAGGCCCAAGGGAAAACAGCACUGGCCAGCGUGCUGACCGCAAACUUCAUGAGCAGGAUCCUUAAAGCACAACAAUGUAACAAACCUGGGUAGCUGGA